rnacentral:rRNA from 1 species
CGUAAAGGGAGCGCAGGCGGUUGGAAUAGUCUGAUGUGAAAGCCCACGGCUUAACCGUGGAAGGUCAUUGGAAACUGUCCAACUUGAAUACAGAAGAGGUAAGUGGAAUUCCAAGUGUAGCGGUGAAAUGCGUAGAUAUUUGGAGGAACACCAGUGGCGAAGGCGACUUACUGGUCUGUAAUUGACGCUGAGGCUCGAAAGCGUGGGUAGCAAACAGGAUUAGAUACCCUGGUAGUCCACGCCGUAAACGAUGAGUGCUAAGUGUUAGGGGGUUUCCGCCCCUUAGUGCUGGAGUUAACGCAUUAAGCACUCCGCCUGGGGAGUACGGCCGCAAGGCUGAAACCCAAAGGAAUUGACGGGGACCCGCACAAGCGGUGGAGCAUGUGGUUUAAUUCGAAGCAACGCGAAGAACCUUACCAGCUCUUGACAUCAUCUGACCACCCUAGAGAUAGGGCUUUCCCUUCGGGGACAGAUAGACAGGUGGUGCAUGGUUGUCGUCAGCUCGUGUCGUGAGAUGUUGGGUUAAGUCCCAUAACGAGCGCAACCCUUAUUGUUAGUUGCCAGCAUUCAGUUGGGCACUCUAGCGAGACUGCCGGUGAUAAACCGGAGGAAGGUGGGGAUGACGUCAAAUCAUCAUGCCCCUUAUGAGCUGGGCUACACACGUGCUACAAUGGACGGUACAACGAGUUGCGACCCCGCAAGGGUGAGCGAAUCUUAAUAAGCCGUUCUCAGUUCGGAUUGUUCUCUGCAACUCGAGAGCAUGAAGCCGGAAUCGCUAG